GAGUUGACAGUUUGCUGACUGCUCUACAGAAUUUGGACUCGUGCAUACCCACAGUUGCGCUUCAUCUGUGCUUGGAGAGUUGAGCAGCUGUGCGUGGACGGGCCCAAAUCUGGCUAGGGAGGCUCGGGUGAGGCUGAAAGAGCCGGUUCCAGAAAGAUGUGUCCAGCGAUGACUGAGGGCCUCGCAGACCUGGGGACCAGGCCUCGGAGGAGCUCCCACCCAGGUGCCUGGCCACGCUGCGUGGAGGGCCUGAACUGCAGGUGCAGGGAAACAGGACAUCACCCCAGGGUGAGAGCCAGAAGCAAAGCAGGCGGGAGGCAGUGACUUCCACCCACAGAGCGCAGCUCAGGGGCCUGGGGGCUGCGUGGACGGCCAGAGCCAGCCUGUGACCAGUGUUGACCCCAGAGGAGAAACACAGUCCCGCGUCUUCAACACGCAGCCACCAGGAUGGGCCCUGUGACCUCCCGGCACGCACCAGCCCUCGGAGCCACCGUGGGAUAAGUCGUGACUCUCAGAAAGGCACGUCUGAGUCCGAACCCGGUCCUGAGAGGUCAAACUGGAGUAGAGUGGGCAUGAUACCCUGACAGGCGUCGGUAUAAAGAGAGAAAACACAGAUGGACAAGGGACGAGGAGCAGAAAGCAGAGGACCCCAGAAGGUAGAAAGGGUCAGGACAGACCCUCCCCUAUGGGGCUGCAGAGGGGGCGCCGCCCGCGAGCCCUCUAGUCUCCAGCACUGCGAGGGAGGAAACUUUACUGUUUAAAGGUGCCCAGAUGUGGCACUUUCUUGACCAGAAAGACCCGGCACAGACUUAGGAAUCAUCAUUUAAAUUUCCCAAAUGGGGCAGCAACCUGGGAAGGGAGCUAAACUAACCUUUCUCAUUUGCAAAGUAAAGAAAAUUAAAAUGCA